UGGGGAAUAUUGGGCAAUGGGCGCAAGCCUGACCCAGCAACGCCGCGUGAGGGAAGAAGGCUUUCGGGUUGUAAACCUCUGUCCUUGGUGACGAAAAAAAUGACGGUAGCCAAGGAGGAAGCCCCGGCUAACUACGUGCCAGCAGCCGCGGUAAUACGUAGGGGGCGAGCGUUGUCCGGAAUUACUGGGCGUAAAGGGUGCGUAGGUGGCCUUUUAAGUUGGAUGUGAAAUACCUGGGCUUAACUUGGGGGGUGCAUCUAAGACGGGAGGGCUAGAGUGCAGGAGAGGAAAGCGGAAUUCCUAGGGUAGCGGUGAAAUGCGUAGAGAUUAGGAGGAACACCAGUGGCGAAGGCGGCUUUCUGGACUGUAACUGACACUGAGGCACGAAAGCGUGGGGAGCAAACA
rnacentral:rRNA from 1 species